UCAAGUCCGUCUUAAGCCCUAACGUUGUCGAGAAGUAUCGCCGGACCGUGCAGGCGACUUCGAACAGCCGCAGCGAAGACAGACGAGAACACGUUUUGAGUCGACAUUUCUAAACGUGGAAUGUUGGAUUGACUGUUGGUAAAUGGGAGUUCGCAAAACUCGCGGAAAUGAAGAGUUUUUUUGCUUGUAAAACGAUAAAAAAAGGCAAAUUUUUUGAACUUGAACUGAACGAAUGAGCGGUCGACGUUGCAAGGUACUUCCUGAGUUCGGUCCUGCAGAAAGAUGGUGGAGCUUGUUUUUGAAGACAUUUUCACUUUGACCAGACUGGAUCCAGAUAGUAAAAAGUUUGAUAAAGGGAAAUCUAUGCUUCUUUUGGUGGACUACCGAUGAUGCUGAAGGGGUAUCCUCCUGCAGCUCAGUUCGAGUUGGACCAAAGGCUUUUUCUUUUGAUGAGAAAAGUGUAAAUCGUACUGUCUAACUACGCCGAACCGAAUGAGACUUAUUUGUUGA